rnacentral:rRNA from 1 species
CAAUAGCGUAUAUUAAAGUUGUUGCAGUUAAAAAGCUCGUAGUUGGAUUUCUGGAUGGAGCGACCGGUCGGGCAUUAAUUUGUCUGCACUGGAGUCGGUUCCGUCCAUCCUCUUGGAAAGUGCGUGGGGCAUUAAGUUGUCUAGCGUAUGAUCCAAGUCGUUUACUGUGAAAAAAUUAGAGUGUUUAAAGCAGGCCUUCGCCUUGAAUACAUUAGCAUGGAAUAAUAAGAUAGGACUUUGGUCUAUUUUGUUGGUUUGCAGACCGAAGUAAUGAUUAAUAGGGAUAGUUGGGGGUAUUUAUAUUCCGAUGUCAGAGGUGAAAUUCUUAGAUUUUCGGAAGAUAAACUUAUGCGAAAGCAUUUACCAAGGAUGUUUNCAUUA